rnacentral:rRNA from 1 species
CAGCGGCAUAUCAAAAAGCGGAGGAAAAGAAACCAACAGGGAUUGCCCUAGUAACGGCGAGUGAAGCGGCAACAGCUCAAAUUUGAAAGCUGGCUCCGGCCCGCAUUGUAAUUUGCAGAGGAUGCUUCUGGCGAGGUGCCUUCCGAGUUCCCUGGAACGGGACGCCAUAGAGGGUGAGAGCCCCGUAUGGAUGGACACCAAGCCUGUGUGAAGCUCCUUCAACGAGUCGAGUAGUUUGGGAAUGCUGCUCAAAAUGGGAGGUAAAUCUCUUCUAAAGCUAAAUACCGGCCAGAGACCGAUAGCGCACAAGUAGAGUGAUCGAAAGAUGAAAAGCACCUUGAAAAGGGGGUUAAACAGUACGUGAAAUUGUUGAAAGGGAAGCGCUUGUGACCAGACUUGCGCCGGGCGGCUCAUCAGGGGUUCUCCCCUGUGCACUCCGCCCGGCUCAGGCCAGCAUCGGUUCUCGUGGGAGGAUAAGAACGGUGGGAACGUGGCCCCCCUCCGGGGGGGUGUUAUAGCCCACCGUACGAUACUCUCGUGGGGACCGAGGUUCGCGCUCCGCAAGGAUGCUGGCGUAAUGGUCAUCAGCGACCCGUCUUGAAACACGGACCA